GACGAACGCUGGCGGCGUGCUUAACACAUGCAAGUCGUACGGUAAGGCCCUUUCGGGGGUACACGAGUGGCGAACGGGUGAGUAACACGUGAGUAACCUGCCCACAACUUUGGGAUAACGCUAGGAAACUGGUGCUAAUACUGGAUAUGUGCUCCUGCUGCAUGGUGGGGGUUGGAAAGCUCCGGCGGUUGUGGAUGGACUCGCGGCCUAUCAGCUUGUUGGUGGGGUAGUGGCCUACCAAGGCGGCGACGGGUAGCCGGCCUGAGAGGGUGACCGGCCACAUUGGGACUGAGAUACGGCCCAGACUCCUACGGGAGGCAGCAGUGGGGAAUAUUGCACAAUGGGCGCAAGCCUGAUGCAGCAACGCCGCGUGCGGGAUGACGGCCUUCGGGUUGUAAACCGCUUUCAGCAGGGACGAAGCUUUUUGUGACGGUACCUGGAGAAGAAGCACCGGCUAACUACGUG
rnacentral:rRNA from 1 species